UAAUACGUAGGGACCGAGCGUUGUCCGGAUUCAUUGGGCGUAAAGAGCUCGUAGGCGGCCACUCAAGUCGAAUGUGAAACCUCGAGGCUUAACCUCGAGCCUGCAUUCGAUACUGGGCGGCUAGAGUCUGGUAGGGGGAUCUGGAAUUCCUGGUGUAGCGGUGGAAUGCGCAGAUAUCAGGAGGAACACCGGUGGCGAAGGCGGGAUCCUGGGCCAGUACUGACGCUGAGGAGCGAAAGCGUGGGGAGCAAACAGGAUUAGAUACCCUGGUAGUCCACGCCGUAAACGAUGGGUACUAGGUGCCUGGGGGAGCGACCCUCUGGGUGCCGGCGCUAACGCAGGAAGUACCCCGCCUGGGGAGUACGACCGCAAGGUUG
rnacentral:rRNA from 1 species